rnacentral:rRNA from 1 species
AGAGAAUAGAUACCCGGGUAGUCCAUGCCAUAAACGAUGAUCACUUGGUGUUGGAGGUAUUGACCCCUUCAGUGCCGAAAGCUAACGCGUUAAGUGAUCCGCCUGGGGAGUACGGCCGCAAGGUUAAAAACUCAAAGAAAUUGACGGGGGCCCGCACAAGUGGUGGAGCAUGUGGUUUAAUUCGAUGCAACGCGCAGAACCUUACCUAGAUUUGACAUGGAAUGGAAGGGUGGCAGAAAUGUCCCCGCCCGCAAGGGCCGUUUCACAGGUGCUGCAUGGCUGUCGUCAGCUCGUGUCGUGAGAUGUUGGGUUAAGUCCCGCAACGAGCGCAACCCCGUAUGUUUAGUUGCCAGCAUUCAGUUGGGCACUCUAAACAGACUGCCGACGUUAAGUCGGAGGAAGGUGGGGAUGACGUCAAGUCCUCAUGGCCUUUAUAUCUAGGGCUACACACGUGCUACAAUGGUCGGUACAGAGGGAAGCAGGAGUGC